rnacentral:rRNA from 1 species
UACAGAGGGUGCGAGCGUUAAUCGGAAUUACUGGGCGUAAAGCGUGCGUAGACGGUAGCGUAAGUCAGAUGUGAAAGCCCCGGGCUCAACCUGGGAACUGCAUUUGAGACUGCUCUGCUCGGGUGCGGAAGAGGGAAGCGGAAUUUCCGGUGUAGCGGUGAAAUGCGUAGAUAUCGGAAGGAACACCAGUGGCGAAAGCGGCUUCCUGGUUCGACACCGACGUUCAGGCACGAAAGCGUGGGGAGCAAACAGG